GCACGGGGGCAACCCUGGUGGCGAGUGGCGAACGGGUGAGGAAUACAUCGGAACGUGUCUAUAAGUGGGGGAUAACGCAUCGAAAGGUGUGCUAAUACCGCAUAAUCUCUCAGGAGAAAAGCAGGGGAUCGUAAGACCUUGCGCUUUAGGAGCGGCCGAUGCCUGAUUAGCUUGUUGGUAAGGUAAAAGCUUACCAAGGCUUCGAUCAGUAGCUGGUCUGAGAGGACGACCAGCCACACUGGGACUGAGACACGGCCCAGACUCCUACGGGAGGCAGCAGUGGGGAAUUUUGGACAAUGGGGGAAACCCUGAUCCAGCCAUGCCGCGUGAGUGAAGAAGGCCUUCGGGUUGUAAAGCUCUUUCAGCCGGAACGAAACGGUUACGAUUAAUACUCGUAAUUAAUGACGGUACCGGCAGAAGAAGCACCGGCUAACUCCGUGCCAGCAGCCGCGGUAAUACGGAGGGUGCAAACGUUAAUCGGAAUUACUGGGCGUAAAGCGCGCGUAGGUGGUUUGUUAAGUGGGAUGUGAAAGCCCUAGGCUCAACCUAGGAAUUGCAUUCCAAACUGACAGACUAGAGUACGAUAGAGGGAGGUAGAAUUCAGAGUGUAGCGGUGAAAUGCGUAGAUAUUCUGAGGAAUACCGGUGGCGAAGGCGGCCUCCUGGAUUGAUACUGACACUGAGGUGCGAAAGCGUGGGGA
rnacentral:rRNA from 1 species